rnacentral:rRNA from 1 species
CCUACGGGUGGCAGCAGUGGGGAAUAUUGCACAAUGGGCGCAAGCCUGAUGCAGCCAUGCCCCGUGUGUGAAGAAGGCCUUCGGGUUGUAAAGCACUUUCAGCGGGGAGGAAGGCGGUGAGGUUAAUAACCUCAUCGAUUGACGUUACCCGCAGAAGAAGCACCGGCUAACUCCGUGCCAGCAGCCGCGGUAAUACGGAGGGUGCAAGCGUUAAUCGGAAUUACUGGGCGUAAAGCGCACGCAGGCGGUCUGUCAAGUCGGAUGUGAAAUCCCCGGGCUCAACCUGGGAACUGCAUUCGAAACUGGCAGGCUAGAGUCUUGUAGAGGGGGGUAGAAUUCCAGGUGUAGCGGUGAAAUGCGUAGAGAUCUGGAGGAAUACCGGUGGCGAAGGCGGCCCCCUGGACAAAGACUGACGCUCAGGUGCGAAAGCGUGGGGAGCAAACAGGAUUAGAUACCCCGGUAGUC